GAUGAAAUAGUCUUGUGAUUUUUUCCCCACACAUACAUAUAUUGCGCUCUACUACGGUAUCGAGCACUAUUUUUUGGAUAACCUUAUUAAGACAUAUAUAUAUAUAUAUAUAUAUAUAUAUAUAUCUAAUUAAAUAAAUGCAUACAGUGGGGUGUGGAGACCCCAGCUAAAUGACAGAUAGUUAAUAGCAAUGGACCCUCAGUUCCAUUUACAUUGAUAUUAUACAUGUGGGCCCAUAAAUAGAAAUGUUAAAUGUAGCUUUAAUGUAGCAAGCUACUUUUGUCGUGUAGCUUGCUACGGGGAUAGCUUCCCCUGUAGUCAAGCUACAUUUAAUCGAGAGUAACUUGUAGCUUAGCUUACUAAAUUUUCCAAGUAGCUUGCCCAUCACUGUAUAAAUGUUCAAAAUGUAGUUUCCUAACAGCACUGUUGAAAAAAAGUUGCCACUGGCAGAACAGUGCCGCCACCUUGGCUGUACAGAGGGAUGUGAGACAAUGCACACAUCAGAUGCAGUGCAAGAUGUAUUCUGUUUGCCAAUAUCCGUGUAUUGAAGGGCUCAAAUUAGCAUAUAGUAUAGGAUUUGGGAAAUUAUUGAUGAUUUAGAGCAGGGGUUCUCAAACUUUUUUCACCAAGUACCACCUUAGAAAAAACUUGGCUCUACCACCAUAAUGACCAAGAAACAUUUAAAUACGGUAGCAUAGUAGGCCUAAGUAUUCAUUAAAAACAACACAGAGGUUUUAUUUAACAAGUAUAUUUAAUAUUUUCGGCCACUCUAACAUUACACACAGUUUGAAAAGUAACAGUGUGUUUGAAUAUAGAAAAAUAAAACACUGUACUUUAAUCAAUUGGUUCUUUGGCUUACCACAGUUUGAGAACCCCUACUAUGAGGCAUUCAUUGUAGAAAUACGUCUGGCAACGCUGCUCACAUACAGCCACAUCGUAAAACAAUGCUAUUAUGCUAUAUUAUGUUUUUGGGGGAGUUAAACUGUAUUAAAUGCUGGCUGUAUUAUACAGCAAAUGAUCAAGAGCAACGUCAAUGGGGCAUGUUGUGUAUACGAACAUUUUUCAAACAAGGCCAUUUUAAGCUUCUGUGGUACGAUUAGUUGUCAUAUCCCAUCUGGCAACCUUGGUCAUGUGACUAUCACAGACUGGUUUCCCAAAAAUGGCGGGGAGAUACACUUGGUGCAUUUCAACCACUGGAGUUAGUCUCCUAUCUGUCGCGUAGUCAAGAUGGCGAUGAUGGAAGGCGGAGAGAUCUUCGCGUGUGAAAGGGUUAAAAAUUGGAUGCAAUGGCUGCCAUGCAAAGUUCAUACAGUUUGUGGGUCAUCAGAAGUGGUGAAACAUUGAGGCCUGUGGGUGUGCUGCUGCUGCUACGAGGUGUAGGUCCCAGCAGGCCUCCGCUGCCCAGCAAGCCCAGCCUUACACCUGGUAAGCUCCGAGAGGGCACCUGGAAUUGCCGAAGGCUUCUUCUGGCCAUCACGCUGCUCCCAACACAGCUUGUGGUGGGAAGAGAGUUGGACUGACCGAAUCCACGACUGCUGCAGAACAGAAUAUGUGUAGUUAGUAGGGCUGUAGAUACCGCGUUAUUGCCCUUUCAAAGUCUUCACAGUAAUUCUGUGGCGGUAUCAAACAAAAACUUGGUGUGUAGUUUUUCUCUGACGCUCUAGCGUUGACCGGGUCUGAAAAUAAACUACAUCUCCAAGAAUCCUCUGUUUUCUUGCGGUUUUCACUCGGGGCCGUC